UCACACACUACAGAAUUUGUUUGAAACGCACAAACUUGUCAGAACCAUUCAAAGCACAAAAACAACUACCAAACAGUAAUCAAAUUCUUCGUUGAGCGCUGCCUGAUAGGUCCGAAGACUCGAACCAUGAACAGUGAGAGCAAAUUUGGACACAUAUUCAAGCUUGAUACUGUCUGAAUUGUGAUUGUGACACAAUAAAAGUUUCUGACACAGAAUAAAUGUGGUCAAAGAUAUUAAAAAUACAGUGAAACUAAAGGUUUUGUAUUGAAACUUUUUAAAAA
rnacentral:lncRNA from 1 species